CGGACGGGUGAGUAACGCGUGAGAAUCUGGCUUUAGGUCUGGGACAACCACUGGAAACGGUGGCUAAUACCGGAUGUGCCCGUAAUUGGGUGAAAGGUUAACUGCCUGAAGAUGAGCUCGCGUCUGAUUAGCUAGUUGGAAGUGUAAUGGACUCCCAAGGCGACGAUCAGUAGCUGGUCUGAGAGGACGAUCAGCCACACUGGGACUGAGACACGGCCCAGACUCCUACGGGAGGCAGCAGUGGGGAAUUUUCCGCAAUGGGCGAAAGCCUGACGGAGCAAUACCGCGUGAGGGAGGAAGGCUCUUGGGUCGUAAACCUCUUUUCUCAGGGAAGAACACAAUGACGGUACCUGAGGAAUAAGCAUCGGCUAACUCCGUGCCAGCAGCCGCGGUAAUACGGAGGAUGCAAGCGUUAUCCGGAAUGAUUGGGCGUAAAGCGUCCGCAGGUGGCAAUGUAAGUCUGCUGUUAAAGAGUCUAGCUCAACUAGAUAAGAGCAGUGGAAACUACAUAGCUAGAGUACGUUCGGGGCAGAGGGAAUUCCUGGUGUAGCGGUGAAAUGCGUAGAGAUCAGGAAGAACACCAGUGGCGAAGGCGCUCUGCUAGGCCGUAACUGACACUGAGGGACGAAAGCUAGGGGAGCGAAUGGGAUUAGAUACCCCAGUAGUC
rnacentral:rRNA from 1 species